rnacentral:rRNA from 1 species
GACGAACGCUGGCGGCGUGCCUAAUGCAUGCAAGUCGCACGCAGAGUGCUUGCACUCUGAGUGGCGCACGGCUGAGGACCACGUGGGAACGUACCCUUCCGUGGGGGAUAACCCGCCGAAAGGCGAGCUAAUCCCGCAUACGCUUACCCUCGGGUAAGGAAAGCUCUAACGCGCGGAAGGAGCGGCCCGCGGCCCAUCAGGUAGUUGGCGGGGUAACGGCCCACCAAGCCGCUGACGGGUAGCUGGUCUGUGAGGACAGACAGCCAGACUGGGACUGAGACACUGCCCAGACUCCUACGGGGGGCUGCAGUAACGAAUCUUCCGCAAUGCACGAAAGUGUGACGGAGCGACGCCGCGUGUGGGACGAAGUCCUUCGGGAUGUAAACCACUGUCAGGGGUAAGAAAGUUCUGAUCUACCCCAGAGGAAGGCACGGCUAACUCUGUGCCAGCAGCCGCGGUAAGACAGAGGUGCCGAGCGUUAGGCGGAAUCACUGGGCUUAAAGCGUGUGUAGGCGGACUUGUAAGUACCUUGUGAAAUCCCACGGCUCAACCGUGGAACUGCUUGGUAUACUGCUUGUCUUGAGCCACUUAGGGGCAGUCGGAACAGACGGUGGAGCGGUGAAAUGCGUAGAUAUCGUCUGGAACGCCAACGGUGAAAACAGACUGCUGGGAGUGUGCUGACGCUGAGACACGAAAGCUAGGGGAGCAAACGGGAUUAGAUACCCCGGUAGUCCUAGCUGUAAACGAUGUCGACUAGAUCGUGUAC